rnacentral:rRNA from 1 species
AAGCCUGUGAAGGUGUGUCGUGAGGCAUGCUGGAGGUAUCAGAAGUGCGAAUGCUGACAUAAGUAACGAUAAAGCGGGUGAAAAGCCCGCUCGCCGGAAGACCAAGGGUUCCUGUCCAACGUUAAUCGGGGCAGGGUGAGUCGACCCCUAAGGCGAGGCCGAAAGGCGUAGUCGAUGGGAAACGAGUUAAUAUUCCCGUACUUGGUGUUACUGCGAAGGGGGGACGGAGAAGGCUAUGUUGGCCGGGCGACGGUUGUCCCGGUUUAAGCGUGUAGGUGUGUGUUCCAGGUAAAUCCGGUUCACUUUAACACUGAGGCGUGACGACGAGGCACUACGGUGCUGAAGCAACAAAUGCCCUGCUUCCAGGAAAAGCCUCUAAGCAUCAGGUAACAUCAAAUCGUACCCCAAACCGACACAGGUGGUCAGGUAGAGAAUACCAAGGCGCUUGAGAGAACUCGGGUGAAGGAACUAGGCAAAAUGGUGCCGUAACUUCGGGAGAAGGCACGCUGACACGUAGGUGAAGUGAUUUACUCAUGGAGCUGAAGUCAGUCGAAGAUACCAGCUGGCUGCAACUGUUUAUUAAAAACACAGCACUGUGCAAACACGAAAGUGGACGUAUACGGUGUGACGCCUGCCCGGUGCCGGAAGGUUAAUUGAUGGGGUCAGCGCAAGCGAAGCUCCUGAUCGAAGCCCCGGUAAACGGCGGCCGUAACUAUAACGGUCCUAAGGUAGCGAAAUUCCUUGUCGGGUAAGUUCCGACCUGCACGAAUGGCGUAAUGAUGGCCAGGCUGUCUCCACCCGAGACUCAGUGAAAUUGAACUCGCUGUGAAGAUGCAGUGUACCCGCGGCAAGACGGAAAGACCCCGUGAACCUUUACUAUAGCUUGACACUGAACAUUGAGCCUUGAUGUGUAGGAUAGGUGGGAGGCUUUGAAGUGUGGACGCCAGUCUGCAUGGAGCCGACCUUGAAAUACCACCCUUUAAUGUUUGAUGUUCUAACGUGGACCCGUUACCCGGGUUGCGGACAGUGUCUGGUGGGUAGUUUGACUGGGGCGGUCUCCUCCUAAAGAGUAACGGAGGAGCACGAAGGUUGGCUAAUCCUGGUCGGACAUCAGGAGGUUAGUGCAAUGGCAUAAGCCAGCUUGACUGCGAGCGUGACGGCGCGAGCAGGUGCGAAAGCAGGUCAUAGUGAUCCGGUGGUUCUGAAUGGAAGGGCCAUCGCUCAACGGAUAAAAGGUACUCCGGGGAUAACAGGCUGAUACCGCCCAAGAGUUCAUAUCGACGGCGGUGUUUGGCACCUCGAUGUCGGCUCAUCACAUCCUGGGGCUGAAGUAGGUCCCAAGGGUAUGGCUGUUCGCCAUUUAAAGUGGUACGCGAGCUGGGUUUAGAACGUCGUGAGACAGUUCGGUCCCUAUCUGCCGUGGGCGCUGGAGAACUGAGGGGGGCUGCUCCUAGUACGAGAGGACCGGAGUGGACGCAUCACUGGUGUUCGGGUUGUCAUGCCAAUGGCACUGCCCGGUAGCUAAAUGCGGAAGAGAUAAGUGCUGAAAGCAUCUAAGCACGAAACUUGCCCCGA